UACGUAGGUGACCAGCGUUGUCCGGAUUUACUGGGCGUAAAGAGCGCGCAGGCGGUCGUUCAAGUCGAGUGUGAAAGCCCCCGGCUCAACUGGGGAGGGUCAUUCGAUACUGAUCGACUUGAAGGCAGGAGAGGGAAGUGGAAUUCCCGGUGUAGUGGUGAAAUGCGUAGAUAUCGGGAGAACACCAGUGGCGAAGGCGACUCACUGGCCCGU
rnacentral:rRNA from 1 species